GCAUUCUAAGUUGACUGGGGACCCUAGAGAGGGAGUCUGGAGUGAAGUCUCAAGGCACCAGGUUGCCAGCUCUCCUCCCCAGGCCGCACACUCACCAGGCCUCCGCUGUGCUCCCCGUGGCCCACUGGGCACCGCAGACAGCUGACAGUGGGCCCUGGCCCUGCCUCACUUGCCUGCGUUCCUCACCCCAUAAGGCAAGAUUCAACGUUUGUGCAGACUUCUCCCAGUAAGGCGCAAAUACCAUAGGCUGGGCUCUCACCAAUGAAGGCUCCCGGUGCUCUGGAGACACCACCCCCUGCACACUCAGCGGCCAGGCAUUCCCUGCUCCUUCCUGCAGCAACACAGGAAAACCGGAGCUUUGGACAACGUGUGUUCUCCUGGGCCGGUUUGCCAGAGCCGAGCUUAAAGCCAGCGGCUCAGAGGGCUCCACAGUGAAACUCUGUCUGGGCUGCUCUGUCUGGGCUGCUAGCAGCCACCUUUUGGUGAAAGAGCAUGUGUUCUCAGUGGAAAGGAAGCAGCCUCAGCCCUGGUCACCUGAGGAAGGGAAAGGCACAAUCAGCCCUGCUGUUCCCCGCAGGUUUCAAAGAACACCCACAGGCUGGGGAGCAGAACAAGUCACAACUGUUCUUCAUUGUUUCUUUCAACUGAGCCUCUGCUGCUCCUAAUGCAAGAGACUCAACAACACUGCUCUAUCAUCUGUGGAGCUUCUCCUGGUGCCCUGUUGUUCCUAUGUGUUAUCAGGGGUCAAACCCUGGGCCCUGUGCAUUGUAAAGCAUGUGCUCUCCCAGAUGAGCUAUCACUAGUCUCCCAGCUAUUGUUUUUGUCCUCAGCAUCUGUUUUCUUGAACUGAACUGAAUUCUAAUUAACUCA